UACGUAGGCAGCAAGCGUUGUUCGGAGUUACUGGGCGUAAAGGGUGUGUAGGCGGUUGUUUAAGUUUGGUGUGAAAUCUCCCGGCUCAACUGGGAGGGUGCGCCGAAUACUGAAUGACUCGAGUGCGGGAGAGGAGAGUGGAAUUCCUGGUGUAGCGGUGAAAUGCGUAGAUAUCAGGAGGAACACCGGCGGUGUAGACGGCUCUCUGGACCGUAACUGACGCUGAAACACGAAAGCGUGGGUAGCAAACAGG
rnacentral:rRNA from 1 species